AUUGAACGCUGGCGGCAUGCUUUACACAUGCAAGUCGAACGGCAGCGCGGGCUUCGGCCUGGCGGCGAGUGGCGAACGGGUGAGUAAUACAUCGGAACGUGCCCAGUAGUGGGGGAUAGCUCGGCGAAAGCCGGAUUAAUACCGCAUACGACCUGAGGGUGAAAGCGGGGGAUCUUCGGACCUCGCGCUAUUGGAGCGGUCGAUGGCGGAUUAGCUAGUUGGUGGGGUAAAGGCCUACCAAGGCGACGAUCUGUAGCUGGUCUGAGAGGACGACCAGCCACACUGGGACUGAGACACGGCCCAGACUCCUACGGGAGGCAGCAGUGGGGAAUUUUGGACAAUGGGCGAAAGCCUGAUCCAGCAAUGCCGCGUGUGUGAUGAAGGCCUUCGGGUUGUAAAGCACUUUUGGCGGGAACGAAAAGGACUGUGCCAAUACCACGGUUCGAUGACGGUACCCGCAGAAUAAGCACCGGCUAACUACGUG
rnacentral:rRNA from 1 species